CACCUACUACACAAAACCUUACUUUUCAACACCGGAUAACUAUCAAAAAGAAAAUAUAACUUUUACUGAAAUUAGUAAAAACAAUAAAAUUACAAAAUAGACAAUUUAUAUAUUAGACUCAAUGUGUAGUACACAACAAAACAAUCACCACAUCAAGCGUUCUGCUGUCACCUUUUUAUCUCGACGGGAUGUUGGGUCAUAUCAACUUAGAAGAUGCCAAAAAAUUGUUUAACAAUGUGUGGAAACCAGGGGGGUGGUUUCUAGAUGAUGCUCGGGCAACAAAAUAUCCCAAGUCAUUGGGUGGUUCACGAGCUAUUCUGGAUAUGCAAUUAAUAAUGAAUUGAACUUUGCUACGUUUAAUUUA